rnacentral:lncRNA from 1 species
UUAAACAUGUUCACUCCUUUACACAAACGUGAAUUGUGGCAAUUAAACGCCAUUCAAGUAAACUCUUUUCGUCCCUUUGAAUUUCAUUCCAACAAAAAAAAAAUUGCUAGGGUUUGAUUGUUUUCUUCAUUUCUCUCGAUUCUCACGGAAAUGAGACUAAUAGUUUGAAGUUUAGUCCAGAGAUACAUAAAAUCUUGUAAAAAUUGUUCCAAAGUUCUAACUCGUUCUUCCCAACUAUUCUAAAGCUCGUUAAUCAAUUGAGGUAAACCAAUUAAUUAAUAAUUGUUAUGUUUUGUUUCUACGUUUCUACCUUCACAUUUUUUUUCUUUAGUAUUUAAUUAAUUGAAACCGUGUCGUGUUCCAUGAUCACUUAGAAAACUAGUUUAAUAGAGGAUCACAACUAUAAUAAUUAUUGAUGGUGUCCAAGAGUUAUAGCAAAGUAUUAUUAUAUGGCCUCAGAGUGUAUCUUGUCACGUUAAAAUUGUACAUAUAUUCGAUUGUUUGAAUGCAAGCAAUACAAAUUCAUUUAUUCUUCAAAGCUUUCAACAAUACAUUGAGCAUCUUGUCAGAGACCCUUUUACACAAAAACAUGGAAUUAUGUUUUUUAUUCCUUCCAUCUAUGUCUCUUGAUCAAUCCUUUUAGCUAAGCACAUAUUUUACUUAAAAAAAAAAUAUAUAUUUUCAUGUUGAGUUUUUCAACAUGGAAAUAUAUUUUGUAAAUGAAUUCAUUGUUGAAUAUACAUAAGAGAUCAAUAGAAGUAACUCAUAUACUUGAAUCAUAAUGAUUCAAAGUCUUAAGUGAAAAUAUACCAUUGGUUCGUAGUUGCUUCUACUCGCAAUGCAUGUCCAUUAAACUCUAUUAUGAUGGAUUACAAACGAGCUAUGGUCACUUAAAUGGUGGGUGGGUCCAGCAAGUGCACGGGGGGUGAAGUGGGUGGUUCUUUCUAUCUCUGCAAGAACAUAUAUGCUCUACCUAUGCUAGUUUCUGUCUUGAAAAAUAUGCAAUUCCUUAGUGGCAGACUUUGUUGAUACUCAAAGAAAGGAAUAUUUGUAGUAUGUGGCCCAAAUGUGUGAAAAACAAGUAAAGAAAAAAUAUAUAUAUUGAAGUACCUUUCUCUUUAACAUGCUGCUGUGGUUUGUACUUGAAGCUCUUUUCUCACUUUAAUAUAUUCCAAAACAAGUAAAGGAGAUUCCAGAAUGAUGCCAAAGGGACCCUCAUGGUAUUUUUAUUAGAACGUCCAGUUUAUCAAAAGUGGCUUAAGAAAAGUUGCUUAAUCAAUUAUUAUUCUUUUAUAUUAAAUGGACCCAUCAAGAGAGAAACUCACAAAUUCAAAAGCAUAGAAAAGAAGAUGAGAAGAAUGUAUGUGGCCUUAGGAAUCAGAAAGGGAAAAAAGAGAAACAAAAGGAACUUGUCAGCCUCCCACCAAAGAAUAAUUGAAGCUUAUCGACAUGAAUCAAUAUUUGCAUUAUUUCAAACAUGUUUACUUACACAUAAUAAUGUCGUAAGCAAUAUGUCACUCGGUGCUAAUUAAUUUGAGGAGUACUAUGUAUUAGGAUAUGUUUAUUUUUGAAAAAAUUUAUAUGAUAUGCUUUUUAAAAAGAAAAACUAAACAAUUUAUUUCAUUAAUAAUCAAAUUUGUAAUACAUAUCAUAUCUUCAUUACAAUUUUAGAGAAUAGCAAUAAAUGUAGUCACCACCAUCAUAGUGAGAGUUCUAUCCAAAAAUUGUAUAAGUAAUAAGAUAAAAGACUUCUAAAAUAUAAAAAUAAAAGUCCCACUUUCAUAUUGGUUCUCCCGAUUAAAUUUUUUGGCAUCCAAAAUGUUAUUUAAAUUCAACUUGAAUAUGUUGCUCAAAUUGUCCAAUGACCAACGAUUAGGGCUUUCACAUUUCUGGCAGUUCAAUGCUU